CAGUCGCCGCGGUAAAACGUAGGGUGCAAGCGUUAAUCGGAAUUACUGGGCGUAAAGCGUGCGCAGGCGGUUUUGUAAGACAGAGGUGAAAUCCCCGGGCUCAACCUGGGAACUGCCUUUGUGACUGCAAGGCUAGAGUACGGCAGAGGGGGAUGGAAUUCCGCGUGUAGCAGUGAAAUGCGUAGAUAUGCGGAGGAACACCGAUGGCGAAGGCAAUCCCCUGGGCCUGUACUGACGCUCAUGCACGAAAGCGUGGGGAGCAAACAGGAUUAGAUACCCCAGUAGUCCCUGUCUCUUAUAA
rnacentral:rRNA from 1 species